CCUACGGGAGUCAGCAGUGAGGCAUAUUGGUCAAUGGGCGCGAGCCUGAACCAGCCAAGUAGCGUGAAGGAUGACUGCCCUACGGGUUGUAAACUUCUUUUAUAAAGGAAUAAAGUGAGGCACGUGUGCCUUUUUGUAUGUACUUUAUGAGUAAGGAUCGGCUAACUCCGUGCCAGCAGCCGCGGUAAUACGGAGGAUCCGAGCGUUAUCCGGAUUUAUUGGGUUUAAAGGGAGCGUAGAUGGGUUGUUAAGUCAGUUGUGAAAGUUUGCGGCUCAAACGUAAAAUUGCAAUUGAUACUGGCAGACUUGAGUACAGUUGAGGUAGGCGGAAUUCGUGGUGUAGCGGUGAAAUGCUUAGGUAUCACGAAGAACUCCGAUUGCGAAGGCAGCUUACUAAACUGCCACUGACAUUGAUGCUCGAAAGUGUGGGUAUCAAACAGGAUUAGAUACCCCUGUAGUC
rnacentral:rRNA from 1 species